rnacentral:rRNA from 1 species
GACGAACGCUGGCGGCGUGCUUAACACAUGCAAGUCGAACGGGAUUUAGUAGACAGAAGCCUCGGCUAAAGAUUACUAAUGAGAGUGGCGAACGGGUGAGUAACGCGUGAGCAACCUGCCUAUGACAGUGGGAUAGCCUCGGGAAACCGGGAUUAAUACCGCAUAAAAUCGUAGAAACACAUGUUUUAACGGUCAAAGAUUUAUCGGUCAUAGAUGGGCUCGCGUCUGAUUAGCUAGUUGGUGAGAUAACAGCCCACCAAGGCGACGAUCAGUAGCCGGUCUGAGAGGAUGAACGGCCACAUUGGAACUGAGACACGGUCCAAAUUCCUACGGGAGGCAGCAGUGGGGAAUAUUGCACAAUGGGGGAAACCCUGAUGCAGCGACGCCGCGUGAACGAAGAAGGUAUUCGUAUCGUAAAGUUCUGUCCUAUGGGAAGAUAAUGACAGUACCAUAGAAGAAAGCUCCGGCUAAAUACGUG